GCUCCGAUAGCUCAGGGGUAGAGCGCUUCCUUGGUAAGGAAGAGGUCCCGGGUUCAAUCCCCGGUCGGAGCU
rnacentral:tRNA from 2 species